rnacentral:rRNA from 1 species
CCCGUCACAUCACGAAAGUGGGCUGUACUAGAAAUCGCCGAGCCAACCGCAAGGAGGCAGGCGCUCAAGGUAUGACUCAUGAUUGGGGUG